rnacentral:tRNA from 1 species
GUGGUUGUGGCUCAGAGGUAGCGCGCUCGCCUAGCAUGUGGGAGGCACUGGGUUCGAUCCUCAGCAACACA